GUCCACAUAGCUUACACUAAA
rnacentral:tRNA from 2 species